UUUCCGUAGGUGAACCUGCGGAAGGAUCAUUAUUGGAUUUUGAAACUUCAGGCUGCUGCUGGCUCUCCUCGGAGGGCAUGUGCACGCUUGUUGUCCAUUAUUUCUCCCACUGUGCACAAAUUGUAGACCUUUCAGUAGGCCUAUGUUGUUUUUCACAAUCUCUGAAUGUGAUGGAAUGGUUUUGAAUCUUGGGAAAUACAAUACAACUUUCAGCAACGGAUCUCUUGGCUCUC
rnacentral:misc_RNA from 1 species